rnacentral:rRNA from 1 species
CUCCGCAGCGUUGUAAUAAAGAGUCUACUGGAGGUAGAGCUACUGAUUGGAUGCGGGGGCUUCACCGCCUACCAAAUCCUGACAAACUCCGAAUGCCAGUAGUAUGAUUUACAGCAGUGAGUGACUGGGUGCUAAUGUCCAGUCGCAAAAGAGGAACAACUCAGACCAGCAACUAAGGUCCCGAAGAAUAUGCUAAGUUGAUCUAACGAUGUUUUGUUGCAGAGACAGCUAGGAUGUUAGCUUGGAAGCAGCUAUUCAUUCAAAGAGUGCGUAACAGCUCACUAGUCGAGCGACAGAGCGUGGAUAAUAAACGGGCAUCAAGCAUAUCACCGAAGUUCUGGGCGCGAGAGCGCGGUAGGGGAGCAUUCCAUUCAGCGUCGAAGCAGUUUCGUGAGGAAUUGUGGAGCGUAUGGAAAAGCAAAUGUAGGCAUGAGUAACGAUAAUGCGGGAGAGUAACCCGCACACCGCAAGACCAAGGUUUCCUGAUCAACGCUAAUCGGAUCAGGGUUAGUCGGGUCCUAAGGGUAAGCCGAACGGCGAUCUCGAUGGAUAAUCGGUUAAUAUUCCGAUACUAACAUAUACCUCGAUGGAGAGACGAAGGAACGUAAGUGACGCCGCCUGACGGAAUAGGUGGUUAAAGGGCGUAGGUAUAGGGGCAGAUUAAGAGUUAGUCCUUGCUGAAACCUGACAGUACAGAGAGCCUACGGGCAAUUUGAUAGAGCACCCAAGUCGACUUCCGAGAAAAUCUUCUAAGUUAUAGUAUAUGUUACCCGUACCGUAAACCGACACAGGUGGUCGAGGAGAGUAUCCUAAGGUGCUCGAGUGAAUCACGGUUAAGGAACUAGGCAAAUUAACCCCGUAACUUCGGGAAAAGGGGUCCCUAUGAAAGUAGGGCGCAGCGAAGAGGUCCAGGCGACUGUUUAUCAAAAACACAGGGCUCUGCAAAUUCGAAAGAAGACGUAUAGGGCCUGACACCUGCCCGGUGCUGGAAGGUUAAGAGGGGAUGUUAUCGCAAGAGAAGCAUUGAAUCGAAGCCCCAGUAAACGGCGGCCGUAACUAUAACGGUCCUAAGGUAGCGAAAUUCCUUGUCGGGUAAGUUCCGACCUGCACGAAUGGUGUAACGAUCUGGACACUGUCUCAACCGUGAGCUCGGUGAAAUUGUAGUCCCGGUGAAGAUGCCGGGUACCCGCAACGGGACGAAAAGACCCCGUGAACCUUUACUAUAGCUUAACGCUGAAUUUGGGUACACAAUGUGUAGGAUAGGCCGGAGACAUUGAAGCGGGUACGCCAGUAUUCGUGGAGUCAACGUUGAAAUACGGCCCUUUGUGUACUUGGAUUCUAACCCUUGAUAGGGGACACCGUUUGGUGGGUAGUUUGACUGGGGUGGUCGCCUCCAAAAGCGUAACGGAGGCUUCCCAAGGUACCCUCAGCACGAAUGGUAACCGUGCGCAGAGUGCAAUAGCAUAAGGGUGCUUGACUGUGAGACUUACAAGUCGACCAGGUGCGAAAGCAGGGUAUAGUGAUCCGGUGGUUCUGUGUGGACUGGCCAUCGCUCAAAGGAUAAAAGGUACUCCGGGGAUAACAGGCUGAUCGCCGCCAAGAGCUCAUAUCGACGCGGCGGUUUGGCACCUCGAUGUCGGCUCGUCACAUCCUGGGGCUGGAGAAGGUCCCAAGGGUUGGGCUGUUCGCCCAUUAAAGUGGCACGCGAGCUGGGUUCAGAACGUCGUGAGACAGUUCGGUCUCUAUCUAUCGUGGGCGUAUGAAAUUUGCGUGGCUCUGACACUAGUACGAGAGGACCGUGUUGGACAGACCUCUGGUUUACCGGUUGUGCCGCCAGGUGCAUUGCCGGGUAUCUAAGUCUGGAUCGGAUAAGUGCUGAAAGCAUCUAAGUACGAAGCCGGCCACAAGAUUAGAUUUCUCAGGGUCGUCAAAGACGAUGACGUUGAUAGGAUGCAGGUGUAAAGGUAGAGAUACCAAAGCCGAGCAUUACUAAUUGCCCGUAUGCUUUCCUU